rnacentral:lncRNA from 1 species
CACGAUCCUGCAGCACCGAGUUUGAUGAAUACUUAGGAAGGCAAACAAUCAUGAUCAGUAAUGGAACAGUCACUUAGGGUACACCUACUUCUUUGUGAGUUGAAUAAUCUAUUUCCACCCACCCCAGCCCCACACUGUCAACCACCAUCAACAAUCCGGGGAAUCAAGUUAAUCUUCAAUUAGGUGAAAGAAUUUCAGGAACGAGUGCAGCUCAAGUUACCAAGUAACUUACUGUUGUGAAACGAUUCAUACUGCAAGCCGCCUAAAUGCAGGGCUUUUGAUGAUAUUCCCCGCCAACAAGGCAUGAAGGUGGGGCUUGCCUCCAUCUGGCUCUCCUGCCACUUUCAACAACACACCCCACAUCCGAUCCUGCUUAGAGUCGAAGAUGAAUCUGGCAUAAUACAAACAGCACUGGACUGGAAGCAUGAAGUUUCUCUUAUCUGUGCCUUGGUUUCCUCAUGUGGAAAAUGAAAAUGUUGACAUAAAUAAUCACACAGGUCUCUGUUAGUACCAUUUUGUGAUUUUAUAUCGUGCUUACCACACCUAGAAACAGGGGCCAUCAUUCCAGCCAGCUAACAGAGAAAAAGACGAUACAUAAUCAGGCUUGGGAAAAUAAAUUUCAGAGACCAAGUAAACAAAGACAACAAUCUAGUAUAAGGGUUAUAACUGGGGGAUGAGGGGUUGCAAAUGGAGAUCUGCCACAGUCAACUCUAUUUGGAUUCCCCUGUUCUCAACAGGCAACAGCAAUCAUAAUGGGCUUGGAGCACCAGUCCCACAACAUCACAGGACAUCCAGACAUAAUUGCAUUAAUAAUGUUGUGCAUAAUCGCACAACUCUCUGGUUAUUCAGCAUCGUCCAAUAUGUGAAUAAAGCUCUGAGGAAAAAUUAAUGCUUGCUUAAUGCUUUGACACAUUUCCCUUUACAAAGCAAAGAUCCCUACUCCUCUCACUUUCUCACAUGGAGAAAAAA